AAUACCUUAUAACCAUUAAGACUCUUCAUGCUACUCUCUGGUAAACUUUCAGGGAACCAAUUUCCUUUUAGUACUCUGAUCAACGGCCACAUAAUGCCCCAUGAAACCACAGCACCAAAAAGCAACGAUAAAUUGACAAGGUGAGAACAGAUCAUUCCUGCUCCAACAUAUGUCAUGCUGAAAUCAAAGUAAAAUCUGCAAAAAAAUAUCAAACAUUCUUGUCAGAUUCAUAAAACAUAAAAGAGAGUUAAAGCAAUUGAAGUUAAAGGACCGGUUCAAACUCAGGCUACAGAGAAAAUACUAACAUUACAACUCAUAUACUAACAUUUACUUAUUAAAAAAAGAGAGAAAUGGAAUCAAAGCGCACACGUGUUUUUCCACGCUUUCAACCCGAAAGUAGGAAACUGAGCAAAUUCGCAUUGGCCAUCACCCGCAUAGAACCAUUGGAAGAAAGACCAAAGCAAACUGAAUGAGAAGAAUUGCAUGAAACCCUUAACCUGCUUCCUGUGAAAGAUGCCAAAUUAGUUUUAUAUGUUUUCAUCUUGAAAUAACAAAUAGAGUUCAAAUAACAUAAACAUAAUUGGUUUCAUAAUCAUACUUGGCCAUGACAUUUCCUUUAGGAGUAUGGAAUCCAUUAAUAAGAACACCUGUAGCAGUUCCACUUGGAUAAGGUAAUUUAGAGUCUAUUAUCAUCAUCUGUUAAAUAACAUAGCAAACAAUAUUCCAGUUAGUCUAAACCCAAUUCAUCUUAAACUGAAUAUUGUUUGCUACUUGAAUAUUCAAGUUAGUUCCACUGAAUAAUGUAGUGAUUGUAGGAAAUUUUGACUGUAAUUUUGUCAAUCGUAGACUGCAAAAAUUAGCUGUUUGCUCAAAAUCGUAAAGUAAUUGUAAUUUGACCGCACAAAAUCCAGAUUCAUUCAUAACCAAUACCUUUCUAAAGGGUAUUAAUGCUGUCAGCCCAACAAAGUAAGUAACAAAGAGAAAGCCAGUCAUCCAGCUAAUUCCAGGCUCCUUGGUGUCAGGAGUAUUCCCCGGUGUACUAGCCCCCCCAACUCGCUCAUAUGUCGCCCUAUUCAAUCCCAAAAGGUAAGAUCCAAAACCACCUAUAAAUAAACAAGUAAAAUUUAGAAAAUAAGGGAAAUGUUCCACUUGCAGUUCUUAUUUAUACAAACAAAAUAGAAAUUAAAUAAUGACUUUUAAGCAAGUUGUUUGACUCAAGUGGUUAAUUAAUGAGCUUCACUAAAGGUUUAAUUUCUCGGGAGUAACCAAGGUCGAACCCUGGACUAAUCCUGACAAGAGUUUACUUAUCUCCUGACCGAACUCCGGAUUACCAGGGAUCCAUUCCCCUAGGAACUGGAGGAUUAAAAGCAAUCUUCUUUUAGAAAAUAAUUCAUUUUAAACUGUAAACAAAGACAUUGAAUAGAAAAUAAAACAAAAACUCACCUCAAAAAGAUGCACUGUAACAUGCAACAGCACAAGUCUGAAUUAUGGUAUUUUCCUGUCUAGUGAAAGGUGUUGAAGCAAUAUUUGCUUUCUCAAGAAUCUUAGUCCAAAGUUUGAUGAACACAAAGCCAAGAAGUGCUACUGAAACAUUGAGAUUAGGGACUAGACCAGUUGUGAGGUUCAGCUUCAUCACAAUCACACUAUAAACUAUGCCAAUAAGGAUGCUUGCUAUUAGUCCUCUAAUUGUGAUCUGUUUCAUCCAUGGUGCUACUCUACUUGCAUCUUCUAACUCAUCUCCAACCUUUUCUAUGUCAUCUCUCUCCAAAAUUUCAAUCUCUUUAAGUUCUUGCUCAUCAUUGCUUACACUGCCCAUUGGAAUUAUCAAAUCCUUCAAAGAAAAGAGAUUAAAUAUUAUUAGUCCUCCAAACAUAUCAGAAUCAAUUCUACCCAAUUGGAUGAGUAUAUCUAGAUGACACGAUGUAUUUACAUGCGUAGAUGAUGUACUGUUGUCACGACCCAAUUUCAGGCCAUGACCGGCGCACAGGCUAACACUAACUCAUGAUAUAUUUAGCCUGACAAGCCUAAUAAACUAUAACACUUGCACGUUUCUAAAAUACUGAAAUUUUGGUAAUGACUCACAAAAUUUCAGGACAUUUCAAAAUACAAGUUUAUUAUCACAAAGUAUAUAAAAUCUAUCUCAUUAUUUAUAUAUAGACUUUAAAGAAAAGAACAUUCAUUAUCUCAAUAGUUACAUCAUAAGUAAAUCACAAAAUUGGUCAAGAUAGAGGUCUACCGCAAGGCAUAGAUGUUUUUGGUAGACAUGAAAACUCUAUGAGAUUAAUCAUUUGCAAUCUGUGAAAAGAAAUGAAACCAAAGAAAUGGUGAGUCACAAUAAUUCAAUGAGAGCAUGACAAACAAAGUGGACAUAAUGGAUAGGUGAAAAUUUCACCGGUCUUUACCCAAACAAUUUUUAAACUAAAAAUUUCAUCAUUUGGAAACUCAUUCAUGCCCAAAAAAAAUACUUGCAAUAUCCACGUCAAUACUAUUCGACAAAAACUCAUACUAUUCGACAAAAACCCUUAGCAUGAACCAAUGAUUAGUCAUAUAUAAAGUUCUACAACCACAUGUUCAAAUGAAUAAAUAAAAACAACCAUUUCAACAUGACUAAGAUCAAUUAUCUCUUUUCACUAUUUGUACAUAAACCACAUUAUCUCUUCGUUGUGGUGAACGGAGAUUACCACAUUAUCUCUUCGUUGUGGCGAACGGAGAUUAACCACAUUAUCUCUUCGUUGUGGCAAACGGAGAUUACCACAUUAUCUCUUCGUUGUGGCGAACGGACGGAGAUUAACCACAUUAUCUCUUCGUUGUGGCGAACGGAGAUUACCACUAAUCUAGGAUUUCAAGUUCAGUCCGUGGAUGAUUUGAAAACUGAGCUUUGAAUUGAUGUAACACUAGUCUAGAAACACUUUAAAGAUAUAGGUGAUACUCAUAAGUGUGAUCAUAUAGUACGCAUAUACAAAAUGAACUGAAUUUUGUAUUACUAAUUUUAAUCGGUCCGAUAUUAUUUAAAUGUGAUUUCCCUAUUCGAAUAGUAAAAACAACAUGUAUUAGCCUAGUGACUGAGCUGAACUGAAAUAAUAUUUAAACCAUAAUCUGCUCAAUGGAGUUCAACACCUGAAACAAUUCCAUUUGACCAUUAUAUCUAAGCGCAGCCAUCAAUAAUAUCCUUAUAUCUAAGUUAAAUUGGAUCUUAAUGAAAUAUGUUCAUUCUUAGAUCAACUUCAUGUUAUGUUGAUAACAAAUAAUGAGCACCUUGAUUUGAAGAAGAGAACAACAUGUUAUGUUCAUUCUAAGAAUAUCAAUAAUGAGAAUAUGAUGUGUGUAUCUUGGUGCAUAAUAAUUUUUUAUGCAUGCUCUUCUUUUAAAGUCUGGUGUCUUAUGCAAUAACUUGCUAUCUCUGAUCAUUUUAUAUUUCAAAUGGAUGACUAUUUAUUUUUAGUACAUUUGACAACACCACGUUUAAAACUGGUUUUUCUGAUGAUCAUUUUAUGUUGUUUUAUAGGAAGGUUUUCUGUUAUGGCAUUUUAUUUGUAUAUACAUAGAUUUAUUUCCUCUUUAUUUGGCAACUGUUUUUCAUAUUUUUUUGUUACUUGGACAGAUUUCAUUUCCUUAGGCAUUAGGAUAGCAACUAAUAGAAUUUAUGGACAUUAGAAUUAUGCUAGCAACACACUCUUCCUAACACACUUUUAUUGGCUGAAAUUUAAUUUGGUUCCACCAAAUUUACGUGGUGUUUGCAUGAUUUAGUGGAAUCGAUUUGAAUUUCAAUGAAUAGAAGAGUACGUUGCUAGCAUCCUCAAAUUGUAUCAAGGCAGCACUAUACCAGACAGAGUUCCGACCAGUUCCUUUAGAAGAAUAUAUUAAAGUUGGUAAUUCCAUUUAUAACAAGAGUAUGGAACUUUCUAGGACAAUUCCAAAAGGAGCUGACCUUGGUGGCAAGGAUCCAGACCACGUUGUUGAACUAUGUAACGAGGUACGCAAUUUGAAGUCACAGUCACAUUUUCUACACCUUGUAAUUUUUCAAGAUGAACAAUUGAUAUUUUUUCAGGUUGUUCAAGAGGGACAAUCAGUGUUAAUAUUUUGCUCUAGCCGUAAGGGUUGUGAAUCAACUGGAAGACAUGUUGCGAAGUUCCUUAAAAGCUUUACUGUUGAUAUUAAUGAGAAUAAUUGUGAGUUUGCUGAUAUUACUUCUGCUAUUAACUCCUUGAGAAAGUGCCCUGCUGGGUUGGACCCAGUACUUGAAGAAACUUUUCCAGCUGGUGUUGCAUUUCACCAUGCCGGCCUUACGGUAGUUCCAUUCUUUUGGUAUUAUGGUUUCCGUCAACAUUGUUACUAGACUUAUAUUUUGGAGUAGAAGUUCAUAUUUGAUCUCAAUGGAAAUGCUAGGUUUAUUUUACCUACCUUUAUGGUUAGCCCGUUUUUAACUGUUCUGAAUUCUAAUAGGUUGAGGAACGAGAGAUUGUUGAAACUUGUUAUCGAAAAGACCUUUUACGCGUCUUAACUGCCACAUCCACCUUAGCAGCCGGAGUUAAUCCACCAGCUAGGAGGGUAAUUUUCCGCCAACCUAGAAUUGGUUGUGAUUUUAUUGAUGGGACGAGGUACAUGCAGAUGGCGGGUCGUGCUGGUCGAACUUGAAUCGAUACAAAAGGAGAAAGUGUAUGACUUUUUCUGUUAUAUCCUCAACUAUUAUACAUUAGUCUAUGUGUGGUUUUUAUAGGUUGUUGUGCUGAAUGUUGAUUGAUUGUUGAGAGUUUCUAUGCUUUGGUAUACUAUUUAUUGACUACUAUUUUUGUUUUUUUCAUUGACCCUUGGUUGUACUUAUCAUAUGUUGUGUUUUUCUUUCUCUUUCAUUUUACAUUGAUAUCAUGAUUUAUUUUGGCAUGUCUACGUGGCUUUGACUGUAGUCUUUCAUUUUAAUUAAUUAGGUGAGUCAAAUGUUUUGCUGAUUUGCGUAGGUAGUCAUCUGCAAACCACAAGAGCUAAAAAAAGUUAUGGGACUUCUGAAUGAAAGUUGUCCACCGUUACAUUCCUGUUUAUCAGAAGAUUUAAAUGGGAUGAUUCAUGCAAUCUUAGAAGUGGUUGCUGGAGGAAUAGUUCAAACGACCAAUGACAUUCACCGGUAUGUAAGAUGUACUCUUUUGAACUCCACAAAACCAUUUCUGGACGUGAUAAAAUCUGCUCAAGAAUCUCUAAGAUGGUUGUGCCAAAGAAAAUUUCUUGAAUGGAAUGAAGACACUAAACUCUACAGCACCACACCUCUUGGACGUGCAUCUUUUGGCAGUUCUCUCUGUCCGGAAGAAUCACUUGUAAAUGUUUCUGUCUAUACUUUUAUUCAUGGCAUUUGUUCUUUUUAGUCAGCUUUGGUUUUAUUUCUGUACAAGCAUUUUCUACAGUAUUGGUUUGAAUUAUGCUAAACAACAUUAGGUAGUAUAAUCCUGUUGUGAUUGACAUUAAUCCACACAAUGGUUGAUUUUGUAGAUUGUGUUGGCUGAUCUUUCAAGGGAAAGGGAAGGAUUUGUCCUUGCAUCUGACUUGCAUUUGGUUUACUUGGUGACACCAAUUAAUGUUGAUGUUGAGCCAGAUUGGGAAUCGUACUAUGAGCGUUUUGUGAAAUUGUCUCCUCUUGAUCAGGUUAAAAUAAAUUUCCCCGAUCUUAUUUUUCAGCCAACAAUGUUAUUAAACCUUCUUAGAGUUCACCGCAUGUUUACUUUCACCUAUUUUAUGUUGCGUACAUGAUACACCAAUAUUAUUUUGGAAGAAAUUAAUUUAUAAGAAACCAAGUUUUUCAGUAGAAAGAUGUAUGUAUCGGUAGAUUCACCGGUACAUAAAAAGCGUACGAUUGAAUUGUCAUACCACCUCUAUAGAUAUCGAUUGUUGAGUCUUUUAUGUCUGUAGAUUUGAAAUAGUCAUAUAAUCUUGACACAUUUGUAAAUAUUGUUAAUUGUAAUUGUAUUAUGUUUGCAGUCAGUUGGAAAUCGAGUAGGUGUUACAGAACCGUUUUUGAUGCGUAUGGCACAUGGUGUACCAGUGGGUUCAAACAAGUCAAGAUGGUCGAACAAUAAACGACAAAAUCAACAUGGGAUGUCCAGUGGAAUAGUUAACUCGGAUGAUCAAACACUUCGUGUCUGUAGAAGAUUCUAUGUUGCUCUCAUUUUAUCGCUUUUAGUGCAGGUGCUUUUCUCUAGUAUAUGGACGCAGAUAUCUCUCCUGCAAGUUUUUGUCAAUGAAUGAUAUUUUUAUUAAAAAGAAUAUUAAUAAGAAAAAAUAGAAGGGUGGUAUGAAAUACUUGUUGGUUAAAAGUCACAGGACGACAACCAUAAACAAGGAAUGAGAAAAAAAAACAGAAGAUGAUACAAAAUUCUUCUUUGUUAAAAGUCAUAGGACAACGACCACAAACAAGGAAAUAGCAUUAACACAACUUUCCAAUCUCUUUGCUUGUCUAACCACUGAAAAUUUCAGAAAGCGUUUUAUUAGUUAAUUAUGCUUCUGUGUUCUUUAUCUGUCUUUUCUAUUUUCCAUCUUAUCUUUAAAUUUUCAUCAGAGCUAAUAUCAUUUUAUGAAUAAAUGUGAUUUGAUGAAGGAAACUCCUGUGGGUGAGGUUUGUGAAACAUUUAAAGUUGCCAGAGGAAUGGUUCAAGGUUUGCAAGAAAAUGCUGGUCGGUUUGCAUCUAUGGUUGCUGUGUUCUGUGAAAGGCUGGGGUGGCAUGAUUUUGAAGGCUUAGUCGCUAAGUUUUAGAAUCGUGUAUCAUUUGGAGUUAGAGCAGAAGUUGUUGAGCUUACCACCAUUCCCUAUGUUAAAGUAAGUAGCCGAAGUUCCAUGUCAGUUUUACAUACUUCAGAUAACUUGUGUUUUGUUGUUGUUGUUGGUGUUGAAGUACUCACUCUGUUCCCCUGUUUCUUCCAUUCAAUUCGCAGGGCUCUCGAGCAAGAGCACUCUAUAAAGCAGGUUUACGCACACCUCUUGCAAUUGCUGAAGCAUCCAUUCCUGAACUAGUAAAAGCACUUUUUGAAUCUUCAUCAUGGGGCACAGAAGGUAAUGUGCGAAAAUUGUCAGUAAUCAGUUUAACAAUUUUAUUUAGCAAAAACGGUUGAAAUUAUAUCCCUGUUUUACUCCUUGAAACUAUAUAUGUAAAUGUGGAGCUAAAAUAUUGGAUCAGCAUAUUCUUUAUGUUACAAUUUUUGCCACUGUUUUCUUGAGGACGCUUUUAGGUGAAAUGUCAAUAUUAGUGCAUUAUACUUCUAGUUUUCCAUGUUCAUUUUACGUUUUUGUCUUUAACUCUUUAUUUCAUCAACUAAAUUUGUUAUGCCAAUCUUUUAAUUUGGAAGGUUCUGCACAAAGGAGCUUACAAUUCGGUGUAGCAAAGAAGAUAAAGAAUGGUGCUCGCAAGAUUGUUCUGGAUAAAGCUGAAGAAGCAAGGAUUGCUGCUUUCUCAGCCUGUAAGUCACUCGGAUACGAUGUCCCACAAUUCGCUCCACCCAUAUCCACUGCUUUAUGCAAUUCUAUCAGGAAAGAAGUUGGAAUUUCCUCUGGAAGUGACACAGCUGACACUAGUCAUAGCUUUAUUGAUGCAAAUCACAUUGGUAACUCUAAUGUAGCUGCUUUAGAAAAAGAAAAGGACUUGAUUAAAUCAUCCGACAGAAGUGCUCUAGUUUCUGUAGAAGGAAAAUCAGACAGCAUGAAGCCACAUAGUUUGUCUACUGUUCCAGUUGUAGUACCUACAAUAAAUGAGCCCAGUAUGGCUUUUGGUCCUGCCAAAAUUCCUGAUGUUACCACCCUCUCUGUUCAUCUACAGAAACAAAACGAUAAGUCAAUUAUGCAUAAUGGAUGCCAUGCUCAAGGUACAGGGGAACAAAAUCAUAGGGGGAAUUUGGCUAGUGGUAACAUGAUUAACACCAGCCGAAAAGGUCCCAUUAAUGCAGUUAGUAGCCCUGGUGGGCUUGACAUCCAUUGCAUCAAACGAUUGGAAUUGCACUCUGCUGCCCCUUUUGAAAUACAUGGGAUUGCCAUCUGUUGGGAAAAUUCUCCCAUGUACUACAUUAAUCUUCCCAGGGAUAUUCUGUUGUCUGAAAAUAGAAAAGACGACAGUUUUUCUUUGACUGCAUGCAGUUCUAAGCAGAGAGUUUCAUCAUCUAAUUCUAAGCAAGAUUCCAUGCAUAGAUGGAGCAGGAUUAGCAAAAUAAUAGAGAAAAAAGAAGUGAGAAAGUUCACCUGGAAUUUGAAGGUUCAGAUUCAGGUGCUAAAAAAAACCAUCAGUUUCUGUUCAGAGGUUUGGUUCGUUGGACACAAUCGAUAAAAAUAUGCACCUUGAAGUUGUAGACAAUUCCUACAUAUUAUUGCCCCCAAUCCAUGUUAAAGAUGCAAUUGACAUGUGCAUUGUGGCUUGGAUUCUUUUGCCUGAUGAAGAGAGCAGCUCUAGUCCAAACCUAGAUAAGGUAACAUAACUAGUUGUAUUGUACUGCACUGCGUACAUCAUAGGUGUACACACAUGCUUAACUUUGGUUUCAAUUUGUGAUGAUUUGAUAGUUGAGUGUACUAAUAUUAACAAUCACAUUUGGUAUUUUAGGAGGUUAAGAAAAGAUUAUCCCCUGAGGAUGCAGAAGCAGCUAAUCAGUGUGGCAGGUGGAGGAAUCAGAUGCGAAAAGCUGCUCAUAAUGGAUGGUUGCUGCCGUCGGGUUGCUCAAACACGAGCAUUAUGUUCUGUUCUUUGGAAAUUGCUUGUUUCUGAGAAACUUGUAGAAGUGCUUAUGGAAAUAGAAAUCCCAUUGGUAAGAUCCUACGAAACUAUAGUACACUUAGAGAAAAGUGAUGUCAAGUCUGGUGUUACUUUAAAUCUUAUUGCGUUUUUAUACCAGUCAUCGCACAUGUCAAAAUAAAUUAUAUAUUCGAACAUCAAACAUUUAGAGAGAGAAAAAAAGUAGUAUUGAACAAUUUUUUAUUCACUAAGGACCUAUGUGCGGGAGACAUCUUAAACAUUCAUUUGGCACAACUUGGUCUUUUUGUGUGAAUUUUAUAUUUAAGGUUUCUAAUGGCUGAAACAAGUGCAAACACCAAACAAUAUGAUAUGUAAAAACCAUGUACAGUUUUUAUCAAACUGCUUAAACUUCAGUUUGAUUUUUAUUACUCCUGUUCUACUAAUCAAAAGUUAAAUUUCUAAUAUAUAUAGGUGGGUCUUUAUACACUUUUUGUACCUGAAGCCAAAAGUUGUGUGUGAGGGAGUGUAUUAGAUUUUAAACUAGGGGUGUUUAAGGGGUAGGUUAGAUGAGUUAUGUUUGUCCUUUGCUCGCCCCUAAUUUUUAUUGGGGUUAAUAAUGCUUUAACCCCUGUAAUAUAGGUCAUUUUCGGGUUUAUCCCCUGCAAAAAUUUUGUUUUGGUUUUCGUCCUUGUAAAUUUAUUUAUUUUUUCCAGAAUACUCUCCUAAUAGGCCAUUUUCAGAUUUUUUUUUCCAGGAUUUUUGUGUCCCAGAAUACUCAACUAUGACGAGGCAUGCAGUUUAUAAUAUCUUGGGUACGUUCUUGUUAAGUAUAAAAUGGAACGAGUUUCAAUGCAUAGCAAGAUGCAUUGCAGCUAUGAUCUACCCUUCUUUACAUCAUUUUUGAUCUAUAGGAUAGGAAAGCCAAAAUUUUGUUGAGUUGUAUAUAUUGAUCGAACAUUGGCUUGUAUGUUGCAUUGUUGGAAAUAAAAACGUCUUCCCAUAAUGUAUAUAAUGAAAUAAGUUUCCAUUUAAAGUAGUUUAUUCAAAUUAUUAUUUCAUAAUUUUUCUUAGAGCCUUCAAUGUGGAUAGAAAAGUUGAGGAAAAGGUUUAUAUUUUUUACUUGAUCACUGAGUUGUUUUGGGUGUACCGAGAUCUUGAGAUGAAAUUGGUUAAUAUAAAAUAAAACAAGCUUAACUAUAAUGAAGAAGUGAAAAUAUUAAAGUUCAAUAUGAAAAUCACUGAUUUUCACCCAAAUGACUGAUUUUCACCAUAUCAUAAAUUAAGACACAUGUAAUACAUCAUAGCAAAUAUAUCUUACCUAAAACUGUAAAAGUAAAACAAAUAGCACUGGUUCAGAGACAAAAGAAAUGGUAGAGAAAAUAGAGAAACACUCUAGUAGCUUCCUUAUUAUUCUUUAACAUUAUAGAGACUUCCAUAUUAUUCUUUAGUGUUCUAGAGACUUCUGCAUUUUUCUUUAGUUCUCCAUAUUAUUCUUCAUCAAGCACACUUGUAAUAAUACAUCAUAGCAAAUGUAAAAUACUUAAAACUGAAAGUAAAACAAAGUGAUAGUUGUAAAAUCCUAGAAUCAGUUUCACAGUUUAUUUUUAUACUAUAAAAACUGUGUAACUAUUCUUGGAUGUCACCAAUAGGAUUUGUUUGUUUCUACUUGCGAAUCCAAACAACAUGAUCCUCAGGUAGGAGGUGACAAACUGGAACAGUCCCAGGUUGAACUUUGAGUACUUGAAAUGCCAAAUGUUUUGGGUUCCAUUCUGAUGUAUCAGUGUGACACACAGCAAUAGCUUUAACUCUGCUUCCAUCAGCACCCUCCAAAGGCACAGAGUAAGCUUUAGUUGUAUCUGUUUUGUGACAGUAAAACACUGCAUAAGGGUAAUUCUCUUUGUGACACACAACAGCUUUGUUCUUCUCACCCAACUUCUUCACUCCAGAUGCUAUUGUAUAUUGUUGUAAAUUACUUUCUUUGUUCACUUCUGUUGAAACAGCCUCAACAUUUUUACCAAGUUUAGAAGUAGUGAAAUCAACCAUAGACUCCAAUGAUGUUACACAAACCUUUUCCUCUCCUUUGAUCCCUUGCUCUUCACACUCACUGAUGGUGUUCUUCACAAUCUGAACACCCUUUGACCCUUUCUUGAUGUUUAACUUGUUGAUUAUGUAUUCCACCUUGUUUAAUGAAAAAGGUAUUGAAUUAGCAACUUGGCGCGGCAAGAAUGUUGCCGCAUUUGAAGUGGUCUUAGUGAAUUGCAAGUUCAGUUUUGUUCCAUGAUGCAAGUCCUUUUCCAAAAAGAAGAGUGCUACAUUUGGUUUAUCAUGUAACUGAGUCUCACUUGCAGCAUAAUUGUAACUAAAUGGAGAACGUCCAACUCCAACAUUCAUAUCAGUGCCACCUCCUUCAUAGUAUCCCUUUCUGACUCCAACAUCUACACCACCCUUGCCUGCAUCAACCCAAGUUCCUUUCUCUUCACUCCAAUAUCCAGCUUCGGAUAAAUAGAGUAAAUUGAAAUAUAUUAAAAUUUAUGUGAUAGUUAUUUUUACUUUGAUCCAUAACUUUUUAUUUAUUUUAAAUUUAGUCCUUCAUACAUCAUGAGUCCUUUCUGAUAGAGAUUAUAUGAUGGAAAUGAGAUUUAGUUCAGAUACACUGUCACUGUAAAGUUUUACACUAUGAACAAAGCACAAUCAAUCAUAUGUGUGAUUUUUGAAGUAAUUAUGGUUAAAGUCAAAUGUUAUUAAUAAUUUGAAUAUUAAAAUUGUUUGACUGUGUAAUUUUCUUUUUACACGGACAAUGUGCAUGAAUUAAAUCCUAAAAUGAAAUCAUUUUAAACAUGUGGAAGUAAAAUACCAUCCAUAUAUAAAAUGAGCAUGAGGGUUUUCAGAUAUUAUAUAGAGAUCAGUUUUAGACUAUGAUACUAACCAGGGUGUAGCAGAUUAGUGAUGGCUUUUGGCAUCAAAGAGGUUGGAAGCAUGGAUUUCCAGUAAAGUUGAGGAGGUAACAUUGUAGCAUUAGUUGCCACUACCACAAGCUACAUUUGAGAAUAUUUUAACAUUAGUAAAUUAUUAUUUUGACAAGCAAAUAGUUUAAUUAUUUGAAGAAGACUGGUUGAAUUUAUGUAAUUGAAGCUCACCAUGAAAAAAGUAAUGGUGUGAACAAGAUGAAAAUCCAUAUUGGAUUAGUGAAGCUGAAACUCUAAAGGAAAAAAAAUGAUAGUCUUUACUCUUUUGGAAGAAAUGAUCAAGAGAAGUUGAGAUGGAAUGAAAAACAAAGGUGCAUGUAGCCUUUAUAUAAUAGUGAAUGGUAUGGGGCAGCACUUGGGUGACAUUGUGACAUUGGUCAACCACAAUGUUACAACUGGCUUUUCUUAUUUCUCAUUCAUAAGGUCUUUUUGUUUUUUAUACACUUAUGACAUUGUGGUUGGCCAAUGUCGCCAAUGUCACCAAUGUCACCUAAGUAUUAUUCGAAUGGUAUGUAACUAUUAAAACGGAGAUUUAUAACAAUGUAUCAACUAACUUAUUAAUUCAACUCCACCUGGCUCAACUAUGUGAGUUUUUGUUAAGGAAAAUUCUAUGAUGAAGUUAUGAGAAUGACUUUUUUUGCUGAAGUCAUGAGAAUGAUCAAUCAUUGAACAUUUGUGUAUUUAAUGUAUGUCAUGUCAAAUUAUACAGUUUAUUGCACAUUUACUUAUACGAUGUUCCAUUAUAUCUUUACUAAUUGCAAUUGUGUCCUUGAUUAAAUCAAAAUUAAACAUUUUUAUUAUUAUUUUAUUUUUUAAUCUUAAAACUUAUGCAUCUAAAUUGGAUACUACCAAUUCCAUCUUCCCCAUCUUCGCACAAACUGAAUGUGAGAUUGAUUCCAAAUUUCUUAGUAGCUACAUCAAAAUUCCAGAUCGAUUUCUUCCUCCCUUUCUCUCCAAAAUUCAUCUGCUCCAACACCUAAAAUGGUCCUGAAGAGUAGGUCAAUUCAUCGAAAUUCCAUAUUAAAAAAGCAUCAGAACCAAUAAACAGGUGGAGGGUGAUGGAUGUUAUAUGAUUCAUGAUAUUUAUUGGCAAGGGGUAAAAUUAGGCUCAAUUUCUUUCUGAUUUUCUUUUCAUGCAGUUUCAUAGAAAGUCAUCCGUACAUGCACAUAAAGCUUGUCAUAUGUAGUUGUAAUUUCAACCUUAGGAUUUUGAUAUAGAUAGUUUUACCAAUUCAAUUGAUGUUGGUAUCAGAAGUACUAUGUUAAGUACUUUGAAAUCUUGAGGAUGUGUUAUAAUAUUUGAAGAUGAAGAAAAAUGAAUAAUUUUCAGAUGAAGAAGAAAGGACUAAUAAAAUGAACAGAUGUAGAACAAAAAUGAUUUUAUUUUAAAUAAAAUAAGUUAAUAAAUCAAAAGUAAUUAAUAUUUUGUAUGAGGACUAAGUUGUAAUAAAGUAAAGUUUAGUCGUAGAGUGGUCCAUCAACAAGACAUUAGCUGACAUGAUAUCAACUACUAUGUUAUUGGUUAAAUAAAAUGACUUUUUCAAAAAAGUCAUUUUCUUGACAACACCAUAGAAGCCUCCGUUUGUUAAAUGUGUAGUUUGGUUAAACAUAUGGUUGUAGAUGCCAAAGUGUGUCAUGCGAGUUUAGUUUUGCUGUCGGUAACACUAAAAGCGUCAUGAGAAUAAUGAAAAAGUUACUCGAGUAAAAGAAGAGAGUAAAAGCAAUUAAAAGAAAAACGGUUCGCUUUAUCAAUAUCCUCGUGAGUUUAACUCUGCUGGUAGGAAUAAUGCAUAAUAUAUGUAAGGUUCGGAGUUUAAACUUCGGCCACCACAAAAAAAAAAAAAUUUGACAUGUAGCUUACGAGUUAUGAUCCUCUCUAUUUUCAUUUUUUUUUUUAUAAUUUGAUUUCGCUCCCAUACGUGAGUUCGCUCAAUUGCGCCAGAAAUAUUUGUUUGAUUAGGAUUGAUUAGGGUGAGUUCACCUUGUUUGGUUUUACUUCUUUUUAUUUUUAUUUUAUAUUUUACUUCUUUUUUUUGCCUAAAAAAAAGGAAAAGAAAAACUAACCUCUUUGGUUGAUUUGACGUGUGCCUUACACGUUACAAUUAUUUUCGUGUUUCAGUGAAAUUUUGCAAAAUCUAGCAAAUGAGUAAAUGAAUGUGAUAAUAUGAAUUAUGAUGAGACACUUGUAAAUGGUCAACUUGUCAUAAAUUUCAUAGGAAAAUGAUAAAAGUUGCAGUUUGGAUAGGAAAAUGUAGUUUUCAAUAGAAUUUUUUUUUCUGUGAAAGGAUCUCUUAGGAAAAUGACAAAAGUUGCAGUUUGGAUAGGAAAAUGUAGUUUUCAAUAGAAAUAUUUUUUUUUUUUUCUGUGAAAGGAUCUCUUUUAAAUUUUUGAUUAAUAGAGCAUACAAUUUCUUGGGUCCAAAAACAAUUUUUUCCUAAAUCACUAGGAAAGUACGAAUAUCAUACAAUUUGUAAUAAAUUUGAACUACAUUUAAUAGAUUAUUGUAUUUCUUUUUUUUUCAUUCUAAUAAAUAUUUUUACAUGAUCCAUCUAGAAAAAUCAUUUUUACAUAAUUCUUUAUACGACCCUCCUAGAUUAAUGACCGUACAAAAAAGAUAAAGAUUUUCAAAUCAAUACAAAUAUCAUAAAAUAUGUGAUAUGAAUUUUUAAUAUGAUUUUUUGAGAUUGAAAAUAGGUGAUACGAAUAACAAAAAAUAUUGUGUGGAAUUAAUUUUUCUCCCUAUAAAUAUCUUAAAUUUUGUUUUUAAUUCUUCUAAAUACACAAAAUCGUAAAAAUAAAAAGAAAAAAAAAUCAGAAAAUGUGUCACAACUUUGAUGAAAUUUUGUAUUUCUUUUUAGAUAGAUAAAAUAACAAAGACAUUAUAAAUUCAUACACACAUAAGUGGAGGUUCGGGGUUCGAACCCUAAUCAUACGUUCGAUUAACAAUUUCAGCAUUUUUAUCAGUUGAGUUAAGAUUUAUGGACAUAAAAUUGUAUAUUUAAUUGUGAUGAAAUACAAUAGUAAAAUAAAAGAAGACGACAUACCUCUUCUAUCCAUUUCACAUAUGUAGGCAAUAUAUCACGCAUUAUUAUAAGAUCAUUUACAAAAAAAUUGGUUGUACAUAAAUAUAAAGAUCAUCUAUAAACUUCUUUUUUUUAAAAAAAUAACGAUAUUCAUUCAUUCAAAUCGAUAAAGUAUAUCGAUAUAAUACAAAUUCAAAUUCACUAAAAACGAAAAGGACGAAUCUGUGAGCAAACUCACAACAUCCAUGUUAAUAGCAUAAAACGACAAAGUACCUAUGCCUACAAAUAUGACUAAUAUGACUAUAUUCAAUUCUAAGGAAUACUCAUGUCUCCAAUCUGCAACGUUGACGACGCCUAACCCAUUGUCAUUGAUCGAAUCUGCACUUGUGCAAAGUUAAUCUUUCAACCUAGAUCAAAUAAACACCGUACUAAGACGGAAAAUAAAAAACACAUCGCAUAAAGACGGGAAAUCAAAACAAACAUAGUCGUUCAGAGACGACGAAAUCACAAAAACAAACGAAAGAAAACAGAAAAUAUGUGAAAUCACUUAUUCAAUUAGGAUAGAAGGAAAAACAACUCGGAGGGGUGAUUUUUGGGUCAAAAUUGACCCUAAAUCACCCCUCUGACAAGAAGAAGAAGAAGAAAGGAGUGACAGAUGGCAAUGGGUACCCAAUGGAUAGGGUACUACAAUGCCCUUCCCCAUGUCCGCAUUUAUAAAAAAAAUACCCGUACCCGUGCCCGUACCCUCGUGGGCAACAACUUUAGCCCCCUUCCCAAUAUCCUGCGGGUACUUAAGUGCCCAUACCUGCACCCAUUACCCACACUUUAACUAUGAAAAGACAAUAAAAACAUCACAAAUGAAAUAAAACUACGGUCCCAAUUUUUAAAAAUUAACUCAUAAAAUAAUACGAAUCGUAGUAUUUAGUCAAAUAGAAAACAUCCAAAAUAUCCCUAAAAAAUUAUACACUGGCCUGAUGGAGUUGUUAUUGUAUUAAGAAGUUUUUUUUGUUUGAGUUUAAGUUUAGACUUAAAUAGCUAAAUUAAUUAAUUAAUUAUACACAAAAAAUAAAUAAUUUAUGAUAUUAUAUAAAUAUGUAUAAGCGGGGUUGUGCCUCUGGGCAGUAUAGUACCCUUACCCGUGCCCAUAUCCAUUUAAUUUUGUGGGUAUUACCCGGACCCGUACCCAGACCCAUAAAAGUGGGAUUUUACCCUACUCAUUGUGGAUAUUUUUUACGGGUACCCAUUAGAUCUGGGUCCAGUUGUCAUCCCUAGGUGAUGACUAGGGUUUGAGAUCAUCUAUAAACUUUUAGAUGCACUUAUUAUUUCUCUUUUAAAUAUUUCCUUAUUAAUAUUAUCAAUUAAGAUAAAUUUAUUACUUCAACUAUAUAUUUUAAUGUCCACAUUUUUUGUUAAAUAGUCCAUAAAAAUGGACGGAGGAAGUAUUUUUUAUAUUUUUAAAUAAUAUUUCCUCCGUUUCCUAUGGGGCGGGUGGUUCAACUCCAAUUUCUUUGCAAUAUAAAUAAGUGUGAUUUAUCCGGCAAACACAACCCAAUUGCUAGUUAAAGGACAAUUACAUAUAGAGUUGGUUCUUAAAAAAAAAUUAUACACAGAGUUGGGGUUCGAAUUCCAAAAUCCUCGAUCUCCACUUCUCCAUAUAUAAAAUAGUAUUAAGUGAUUUACCGUCAACUAUCAAAACAUUUUUGCAUUUAUUGACCCUGAGCCAUUUCAAAUUAGAUCUAAAUUCUUCUUUGACUAAGAUCUUUAUGAACUUAAUACUAAGUGACUAACUAAUAGACACAACAAAAUCUGACUGUACCUAUUUCCUCUAAAGAUCUGCAAGAGAACUUCUUCUACUUAUUUGCCAAGAAGUUCAUACAAAUUGGUGGAUGAAUCUUAAACCAAGCAAGAAGAGAUGAAGGAAGAACCCAUAUCCCAUCUCCACAAAUCAAACCAGAAGCAACAGCUGGAAUCAUCAAACCUGCUUCCUCUUUUUUCAUCCAACUCCAAACAAACACUACCAAACUCCCCACACACAUGUCAAUGGCAAAGUAAGCACCUACAACAAAAGGUACAGCCAUUGCCAUUGGAAGUGGGACCCACUUUCCAAUAUUUUUAGGAUUCCAAUCUCUCAACAAGUUAGCCAACAAAGCAAAUGCAAAAAACCCAUAACAGAAUUGCAAGCAAUGACUUGGUAGUGCUGAAAAGCCUUCAACACCAAGAAUUGCCAUGUUUCUAUAGAUGAUAGCAUAUGGUGAUUUGUAUUCACCAUCAGGGUUUCCAACAUCAUAUGUAUGAUAGAAAAUAGAGGCUGUGAGUGGUGCUACAACACAACCUAUUGCUGUACCAAUUGUUUGUGAUACAAGCAUUGAUCUUGGUGAAGUUAGAGUUAAAUAACUAGUUUUAAAAUCUUGCAUUAAAUCAGCUGAAGUUGAAGCUAGCGAUUUUAUUAGUCCACAUGCUACAAGUCCAGCAACAACACCGUCACUUUUUCCUCCUAGGGCUGCAAGAAUGAAAAGUGCUACUUUUCCAUAGUUAUAGGACAUGUUCAUGUCGGUUAAGCCGGCACCAUAAGCAUUGCAGAAGCCAAGAAUUGGUGCUAGGAGAUAAGCAACCACCACAAAGUACCACUUCACUUGUGGGAAUAUGUGAGGGAUAACUGUGAUUGAAAUUAUGGUGAGUCCUAGAUACCCUACAAAUGCUAACCAUAUUGGGAUGCUUUCUUUUACAAAAAAUUCAUCGCGUGUUAGAUCGUCUAGAGUCCGGUUCUGGCUAUUAUCUUUAAAGGAAUCUGUUGUGAAAAAAAUAUACACACAUUAGAUUCAUUGUUGUCCAAUUGUGGCUAUAGUUUUAUAGUGUAGCAGAAUAUAAUAAAUCACUGUUGUUCUGUGAAAAGUGCUAAAAGGCCAUAUAUUUACCUGCUUUGUGAUCCCUCUUUUUCAUACAGGCCUGAAAAUUUAAGGCACUGAAAUAUAUAAUUUUGAUAAAAUUGUAGAGCCCAUCACCAAGGAUUAAUGAAAUGGAAAUAAAAACCUGCAUCAUGAAAAUAAAUGAAAGUUAAGGCUUAAAAUGGAAAAAAUAACUCAAAAUCUGUUCUAAUAUAGUGUCCUUCAACUUUUGUUCAGUUAAAUACCUUAUAUCCAUUAAGGCUCUUCAUGCUACUCUCUGGUAAAGUUUCAGGGAACCAAUUUCCUUUUAGUACUCUGAUCAACGGCCACAGAAUACCCCAUGAAACCACAGCACCAAAAAGCAAUGAUAAAUUGACAAGAUGAGAACAGAUCAUUCCUGCUCCAACAUAUGUCAUGCUGAAAUCAAAGUAAAAUCUGCAAAAAAAUAUUAAACAUUCU
rnacentral:lncRNA from 1 species